AGAGCAGUGGAGCCCUGCCCUAACUAUUUCCAAGGUCUUACUUUCAAUCUGUUCACUGUUGACGGAUCCAAAUCCGGAUGACCCGCUCGUGCCUGAGAUCGCUCAUAUGUACAAGACUGACAGGAACAAAUAUGAGACAACCGCUAGGAGCUGGACGCAGAAGUAUGCGAUGGGCUAAGCAAUGGUGACUUAAUGAAUAUGCAUUUAGGUUGUCCUCAUUUUUAUGCUCACCUGCCUGUUCUAUAUAAUGAAUCUUUAUCUCUCGGUCUGUUGCAACCAUCCUAUGCUGCUGCUUGAGCAAAGAAAGGUCGUUUAACAUUUCCCCUUUCAUUCCCAAUUGGAAAAGUAUUUUCUUAUUUGGUUGUGUGGAUUAAUAUAAUACAAUAUAUAGGACACUGAAAUGUAUCUUCG
rnacentral:misc_RNA from 1 species